UGAAAAAACACCUGGCAUUCGGUGUCCUCCAGGGGUUUUCAGCCGCGUAAAAAAGCUUUAGUGUGUCCUGCCCCUUAGUCAGUAUGUCUAAAACAGAAACACUAAAUAUUAAAACGAACAACAGCUUUAAUGUGCGUAUCAACUGUAUUUUAAAACAGCACGUGAGCACAGAAAGUAUAAAAUGCAAAACAGACAAAAUGCAAAUACGCCGCGUCACGAACCUGCCUUUUAUUAUAUGACGACAUUAGGCGACUUCUCAAACAGACUUUGGAUUCUUUCCAUUUCAAAUUUUUGGUAACCAUACAAAACAGCUUCCAAUGUCAAACUCCAAACUUUCAUGAUUUUGUUCUCAUAAGUUGUUUGUCACAUGUGCCUAGGUCUGCAGACAACAGAAGUGCAAAUCUGAUCCGCAGAAGGCACGUAGAUGGCAGUUUUACCAGUGAUGUCAACAAGGUUUUGGACAGCAUGGCUGCUAAAGAAUACUUACAAUGGGUGAUGAACUCAAAGGCAAUGGGGGCGAGUGGCAAACGGGACGGGAAUUGAUAAAGAACCAAUGGACUUCCCUAUAACAGCUUAAAACUGGAUCCUGUUGGCCUUCAGUCAUCAAAUGAAUGAAAGCCAUAUCGCUUAAAGCCAAAACUCUGGAAAUCUAAAGCCAUAUUACUAUAAUAUAUAUUUUUCUUUUUUAUUUAUUUAUUUAUUUUACAUUUAAGCACUGAAGUCAUUAUUAUUUAUUCUCCUGUGACUUAAAAACAUCAUGUACCCUAAGUUAUAAGAAAAAUUGAUAUUUUUUUAAGGUUUUUCUAUGUGUGCGAUAUUAAAGGAACAUCAGGUUAACUCACGUGAAUGCAUUAAAAACUCAGGAAAAACUGAAAAUGUAUUUGUGUCACAACUGUAUCAAAGUGUCGUGUUAAACGGUGUCCUGCUCUGCUAAAUAAACGUUUUCAUAUUCAUCCCGA